rnacentral:misc_RNA from 1 species
AAGUCGUAACAAGGUUUCCGUAGGUGAACCUGCGGAAGGAUCAUUAACACGCAUUUAAAGCAUCCAAUAUCAACAAAUCACAACCAAACGGUCAACUAUCUCCUCCCUAUUUCGCACACCGGAGACGGUACGAGUAGGCUAACAUGUAAAUAACCAACCAAAUGUUUGUUAUUUUCAAACACAAGAUAACCCCUUUUAAUUAUAUUAUUCAUUUAAUAUAAACGAACAACUCUUCGAAUUUGCCCUUCCUUUGAUUUCAUUAUCAAUGAAGAACAAAAACGAACUAAACUAAAAUAUACAUUCGAUAUAUUUUUAUUUUACGAAAUAAUAUAUAUUUAUAAGAACAACUCUUAGCAAUGGAUAUCUUGGUUCUC